UUACAUUAUAUUAUGUUGAUUUCAUAAUUGACCAAGCCUUACAAUAGGCAUACUACAAGUGUAUAUUGUGAAGAAUAUUUUCUUUUGCAUAAAAAGAGAAGUACUAAUGUAAUUUAAAUAUAUUUUUGAAUUGCAGAAACAACUUUGUCUUUUAAAUAUUAUUGUAUCUAGAAAUUUGGUUGAUAAAAUUCCCUCCAAAAUUUUGCCUAGGCUCUCUAAUAUUACUGGAAUCGCCACUGACUAUACUAUACUAUACUAUACUAUAGUAAUACUUUUGUUUUGUGCAUUCUGUAGUUGAUACACAUCCAAUCUUAUAGCAAUUUCAUUUCCCAUUCAAUUGACUAAAAGCAUCAGCAGCAUGACGAUCCAUUCUGUAGUGAUACAGAAACUGCUUAGCACCAAUGCCCACAUUGGCCGUCAAGUCGUCACUCAUCAUUUCAAAGAAUACACUUACGGCCUCCGCAACAAAAUGGCCAUUAUCGAUUCCGAUAAGACCUUGAUUUGCAUGCGUAGUGCCUUCAAUUUCAUCUCUUGCCUCGCCCGCCAAAACGGANNNNNNNNNNNNNNNNNNNCUCUUCGAUGAAAUCUUUGACCUUAUGACCAAAAAAGUCGGCUGCUACAGCCCUUCUUCCAGUUCUCUCUGGCGCACCGGCGGAUUCCUCACCAACAGCAACAGUCCCAAAAAGUUUCGCUCUCGCAACAAGAAGCUCUGCUUCGGUCCCACUCAGCCUCCCGAUUGCAUUGUCAUUGUCGACACUGAGAGCAAGUCUUCUGUCAUUGACGAGGCUUUCAAACUUCAGAUUCCAAUUGUAGCUCUCGUCGAUUCUGCCAUGCCACUCCAUACUUUUAGCCGCAUUGCUUAUCCAAUACCUGUUAACCCGUCUGUUCAAUUUGUCUAUCUCUUCUGUAAUUUGAUUACCAAAACACUGCUUCUUGAGAAGAAGAACUUGCAGCUCUCUAAUCCCAAAAUUGAUGAUCGGUAUACUACUUUACCUUACCUCAUUCUACUGUUUUCUUUUAUCACUUCUUGUGAAUGAUUCCAUUACUAUUAUUAUUUUGAACUGUAAAAGAGAAGAAGCUACCAAAAUUGAAGAUAACAAGCGGAAGAAUAAUCUGGCUAAGGUCGGCAUCACUGUUAUGCCCUACGAUAAAUUGGCACCCUUGCCCGAAGGUAAACCAUAAUUUGAGAACUUUGUGCCUUCUGUUUUCUCUAUGACCAUCUUUAUUGUCUUUUUCCCUAUUUGUUCAAAGUAGUAGUGAGUAAUUUCACAUUGAAAGCAGAUAUAGAAGAUAUGAAGAAACUUUUGGACAAGCUUGUUAUUUUGAAGGUCAAUCACGACUCCGGAAGAAAUAUGGGUUUUGAAAACCCUAAGUAAGCAUUCGUCCAACUCCUCAAAUUCACUAUCCAUCUAAAUUAGAAAUGUCACACAUAUGUUAUUUUAUGUCUGUAUAUGCAUGAUAAUGUUCAUUGGCUUUGUUUGAGUAGUGUAUUGUUUUAUAUAGAAUUUCCCAUGUUGAAAUCACACAAUCAUUUUCGCACCCUUGUUUUAUAUAGAAUUUCCCUUGAUUAUUCAAAAUGUCACAGUCGACGAAUUUAACUGAUGACACUUAUGUUUCAUGUAGAUCCACAAUAGAUAUUUGUGAUGGACAGACAUUUCUAGACAUGAUUGUUAACCAGAUUGAGGUCAGACAUUUAUACUUGAUGUAGAAGUUAUGGUUCUCACACAUACUUCAAUUAUCAUUUUUCUAUGCAAGCAAUUUGUUUAUUCCUUGGGGAUUAAUAGCCUGCUAGUCUGCUAAAAAAAAUUAGCAGUUGUCCAGAUAGUGCAAAUACAUUUUUUUUUUUGUGACUAUUUUACUGUUGUAAUUUUUUGUAGACCCUCAACUCCAAGUAUGGAUGCCAAGUUCCAUUGCUUAUUUUUGACAAAGAUGACACUCACGAUAGUACUUUAAAGGUGAAAUGGCGUUUCAAUUUCUUCCAUAUUUGAUUGUAUCAUUACCUUGGCUAUUAUUGAAGUUUUCAGCUUGGCCUUCAUCAUCUUCCAUAGGUUUUGGAAAAGUAUUCGGAAUCAAGCGUUGAUGUGCGCACUUUUAAGCAGGUUUGCAUUUGUUCCAUAUUUUGGAUCAAUUGAUAUUGAACUGCGUUUUCUCUUGACCAUUACAUCAUAAUCUAUAUAGGGUGAAGAUCCAGAGCUAACAUCAUCAGGUGGGCAUCGCAGCAAGGAGGAAGUGUAUGUCAUCUUUCAAACAUCUGUCUCUUAAAUUGAAUUUUAGAUGUUCAUAUGCACACUUGUAGAUAAGAGAUAUAAGUUUCAACGCUAAAUGUUACUAUUAUUAGGGACAUUUCAUUCAAUAAUAUUAAGAUUACAAUUACUUUCACGUGCCCUAGUUGUUAACAGCAGAAAUUUAGAUGCAUACACUAAGCUUAGACCCGCAUAGAAGCUACUUUAUUUUUAUUUUUAAUUAAUAUUUUUUUUUGGGCAUUGUUGAAGGCAUACAUGCUUACUCCCAAGAAUUAGGUUUAGGUGCACGUUAUGUUUAAACCAGCAUCUGCAUAAGGUUUGACAUAAAGAAAUUAAAGCAUGUCAUAAUUUAUCUACUAAUUUCCUUUAGUUAGUCAUGAAACCAUGAUAUGUUCACAUAUGAAGCACGGACACCUCUAUGAUUA
rnacentral:lncRNA from 1 species